AUAUCGGGGGUGCACUGGCACAGAGGAAAGGCCAUGUGAAGCAAGAAGGCAGCCAUCUGCAAGCCAAGGAGAGAAAUUUCAGAAGGAACCAACCCUACCGACAUCUUGAUCUUGGACUUUAAGCUGCCAGACCUUUUAUACAUUUUCUACAGAAAAUGCACCCCAUCAUUGCUUAUAGCCCACCCACGUGGACUGCUCAUUCUGUGAAUCAUGUUUUACAGAUUUGUUUAUGUGGCAUUCCUCGUUUGAAUAAAGCAGAACCAAAUGUCUUGGUUUGAAGAUUGAGAUGAAAUGGGAGGGCCACAAAUAGUAAUUUAUCUUUGAGCAUCGUAUAGAUAAACAUGUAACCUGAUACUAAACAAAAGUAAAUGCUCAUGGACUGUCAGUGAUGUGGUGGGAUAUGCCAGAGGGAAGUGAUUUGUGGACUCACUGGAGAGAGACUUCUACUAGAAAAAUUGCCUUGAUGUUAGGAAUUAAAAAAACAAAACAAAACAAAAAACAUGGAGCCGUAUUCUCCAGAAGCUUACAUCUGAUUUAACGAGACAGGUAAGUACAAUUUCAACAUAAUGCAUUAAGUGCUAUGAGAGUAGUAUGAUGGUGAUAGGUGCUAUACAAGACAAGGGUUCUAGGUUAAUUGCUUUGAGAAAAUUGCCACCCUUUAACAAGGUUAAACUGGAUUCUUUAACGUCAACCUUACUGAGAGUUUCUAAUAUGUCACUGUGCUUUGUGAAUCUUCAUGUGUGUGGAGUAGAGAUCCAGUCUGCCAAGUUCUGCAAACUCAUCUGACAACAGAACUCUUUUUCAAUGGAAUAUCUCAAGGCAUUUGUGCUCCACGAGACAUAAGAUGAGAAGGGCUGACACAAGAUUCUCACCUAGUGAAAAAAAAAUAUGUAUUUAUAUUUUUAAAAACUGGUUGGAUGGGGGCUUUCUCCCAAAUACAUAAAUGACUUUGAAGUUUUUUUUUUCAGUCCUAUGACAGAGUAAAGAUGCAGACUUAAAAGGAUUUACCAUGAAGAUUUUAAUGACUGCUGGGCUGAUUAUUAAGCCUGAUCCCAGUGAAAUGGAAUGCCUUUAGUCAUUUUCAUUUAUGGACUGUUUAACGAUUUUUCUCCAAAAGAAAUAUUUAAUGAACACAAUAUCGAGUUCCUCCCAGUGCUUCUAAUUAACAGACCACUGAACGAUCUUUGUUAAAGGAAAGGCUAGCUUCAGGCCAGAAGGCGUUGCAGGAUCUAAUAUGUAUGCUACCAUGGGUGACCAAGCAUAAAGAUAAACUAAGGAUUUGAAUAUAUAAGGGCUAAUGUUUGUGUCCAUUGUUAUGGAAUUUCUGACAAUCACUCUCUAGUCUUUCCUAAUAUUUGGCCUUUAGGAAAAGUGUUUUGGACUGAAUUGUUCUCUCUCCUCAUUAUCCUCCUUAAUGUGUGAAAGUCUCAAUGUAACUGUUGAUUACCUGCUCUCUAUUUCAUAAAGAGGAAAAACAGAUCCAGAGGACCAUUUCAUGAUUCAUCCUUUUUCAAAACGUUUCUUAAAACAUUAAAUAAAGUUUUAUUAUUGUAAACUGUU
rnacentral:lncRNA from 10 species